UACGUAGGUCCCGAGCGUUGUCCGGAUUUAUUGGGCGUAAAGCGAGCGCAGGCGGUUUAAUAAGUCUGAAGUUAAAGGCAGUGGCUUAACCAUUGUUCGCUUUGGAAACUGUUAGACUUGAGUGCAGAAGGGGAGAGUGGAAUUCCAUGUGUAGCGGUGAAAUGCGUAGAUAUAUGGAGGAACACCGGUGGCGAAAGCGGCUCUCUGGUCUGUAACUGACGCUGAGGCUCGAAAGCGUGGGGAGCAAACAGGAUUAGAUACCCUGGUAGUCCACGCCGUAAACGAUGAGUGCUAGGUGUUAGGCCCUUUCCGGGGCUUAGUGCCGCAGCUAACGCAUUAAGCACUCCGCCUGGGGAGUACGACCGCAAGGUUGAA
rnacentral:rRNA from 1 species